GGCUCGGUGGUGGAGGGUCCAUACUCGCGUAUGGUAGCGGGAUCGUUUGAGUAAAUUACUACCAUGCGAGAGGUGCCCGUUCGACUCGGGUCCGAGCCA